rnacentral:pre_miRNA from 1 species
CCAAGACAAGACUUGGCACUGAAAGAAUUCACAGGGAAAUAUUUUCAAAUGCUGUGGAACUAUUGGUGCCUAUUCUUGUCAAGU